rnacentral:rRNA from 1 species
AGCGAACGCUGGCGGCAGGCCUAACACAUGCAAGUCGAACGAACCCUUCGGGGUUAGUGGCGGACGGGUGAGUAACACGUGGGAACGUGCCUUUAGGUUCGGAAUAACUCAGGGAAACUUGUGCUAAUACCGAAUGUGCCCUUCGGGGGAAAGAUUUAUCGCCUUUAGAGCGGCCCGCGUCUGAUUAGCUAGUUGGUGGGGUAAUGGCCACCAAGGCUACGAUCAGUAGCUGGUCUGAGAGGAUGACCAGCCACAUUGGGACUGAGACACGGCCCAAACUCCUACGGGAGGCAGCAGUGGGGAAUCUUGCGCAAUGGGCGAAAGCCUGACGCAGCCAUGCCGCGUGGAUGAUGAAGGUCUUAGGAUUGUAAAAUCCUUUCACCGGUGAAGAUAAUGACUGUAGCCGGAGAAGAAGCCCCGGCUAACUUCGUGCCAGCCGCCGCGGUAACAC